UGGGGAAUUUUGGACAAUGGGCGAAAGCCUGAUCCAGCAAUGCCGCGUGUGUGAAGAAGGCCUUCGGGUUGUAAAGCACUUUUGUCCGGAAAGAAAUCCUUGGCUCUAAUACAGUCGGGGGAUGACGGUACCGGAAGAAUAAGCACCGGCUAACUACGUGCCAGCAGCCGCGGUAAUACGUAGGGUGCAAGCGUUAAUCGGAAUUACUGGGCGUAAAGCGUGCGCAGGCGGUUUGCUAAGACCGAUGUGAAAUCCCCGGGCUCAACCUGGGAACUGCAUUGGUGACUGGCAGGCUAGAGUAUGGCAGAGGGGGGUAGAAUUCCACGUGUAGCAGUGAAAUGCGUAGAGAUGUGGAGGAAUGCCGAUGGCGAAGGCAGCCCCCUGGGCCAAUACUGACGCUCAUGCACGAAAGCGUGGGGAGCAAACAGGAUUAGAUACCCUGGUAGUCCACGCCCUAAAACGAUGUCAACUAGUUGUUGGGGAUUCAUUUCCUUAGUAACGUAGCUAACGCGUGAAGUUGACCGCCUGGGGAGUACGGUCGCAAGAUUAAAACUCAAAGGAAUUGACGGGGUCAUAGCUG
rnacentral:rRNA from 1 species